GACGAACGCUGGCGGCGUGCUUAACACAUGCAAGUCGAACGGAAAGGCCCUGCUUUUGUGGGGUGCUCGAGUGGCGAACGGGUGAGUAACACGUGAGUAACCUGCCCUUGACUUUGGGAUAACUUCAGGAAACUGGGGCUAAUACCGGAUAGGAGCUCCUGCUGCAUGGUGGGGGUUGGAAAGUUUCGGCGGUUGGGGAUGGACUCGCGGCUUAUCAGCUUGUUGGUGGGGUAGUGUCUUACCAAGGCUUUGACGGGUAGCCGGCCUGAGAGGGUGACCGGCCACAUUGGGACUGAGAUACGGCCCAGACUCCUACGGGAGGCAGGAGUGGGGAAGAUUGCACAAUGGGCGGAAGCCUGAUGCAGCAACGCCGCGUGCGGGAUGACGGCCUUCGGGUUGUAAACCGCUUUCGCCUGUGACGAAGCGUGAGUGACGGUAAUGGGUAAAGAAGCACCGGCUAACUACGUG
rnacentral:rRNA from 1 species